UACGUAGGGGGCUAGCGUUGUCCGGAAUCAUUGGGCGUAAAGCGCGCGUAGGCGGCCCGGUAAGUCCGCUGUGAAAGUCCAGGGCUCAACCCUGGAAAGCCGGUGGAUACUGCCGGGCUAGAGUCCGGGAGAGGCGAGUGGAAUUCCUGGUGUAGCGGUGGAAUGCGCAGAUAUCAGGAGGAACACCUAAGGCGAAGGCAGCUCGCUGGAACGGUACUGACGCUGAGGCGCGAAAGCGUGGGGAGCGAACAGG
rnacentral:rRNA from 1 species